CCACCCACCAUCCUGACCCUCCUAGAAGGUACACCAUACCACAGCACCCGACAUAGCUGACCACCCACCAUCCUGACCCUCCUAGAAGGUACAACAUACCACAGCAUCCACUAUACUGACCAUCCUGACCCUCCUAGAAGGUACAGCAUACCACAGCACCCCUAUACUGACCAUCCUGACCCUCCUAGAAGGUACAACAUACCACAGCACCCACUAUACUGACCAUCCUGACCCUCCUAGAAGGUACAACAUACCACAGCACCCACUAUACUGACCAUCCAGACCCUCCUAGAAUGUACAACAUACCACAGCACCCACUAUACUGACCCUCCUAGAAGGUACAACAUACCACAGCAUCCACUAUACCGACCCUCCUAGAAGGUACAACUUACCACAGUACCCACUAUAACUG
ensembl:lncRNA